rnacentral:lncRNA from 1 species
CCGUCGGGCUAGCUGCGGCCGCGCGCCUCCCCACCGCUCCUCGGUCCUGUCUCUGCUUUAUAUUUUUUUUCUCUCGUAGUAGUAGUCCUGUUUGCUGGCUCGAUCUCCUCUUUAGUAUUCAAGCAACCCGGCGAUUUGCGGGAGCAAGCAAGUGAAAACAGAGGAGGCAGGCAAGCGAAGGAGCUUAAUUAAUCAAGCGAGAGCGUGUUCAAAGCGUCUCCAGGUGCGCGGAGGAAAUGAUCGGCGGGGGG